rnacentral:rRNA from 1 species
UACGAGGGGUCCUAGCGUUGUUCGGAAUCAUUGGGCGUAAAGAGUAUGUAGGCGGCCAGAUAAGUCAGGUGUGAAAUCCCCGGGCUCAACCCGGGAAGUGCAUUUGAUACUGUCUGGCUUGAGUAUGGAAGAGGGUAGUGGAAUUCCUGGUGUAGUGGUGAAAUACGUAGAUAUCAGGAGGAACACCGGUGGCGAAGGCGGCUACCUGGUCCUAUACUGACGCUGAGAUACGAAAGCGUGGGGAGCAAACAGG